rnacentral:ncRNA from 1 species
CGACCGGGACGACCCGAUCACGCUCCUGUACACGUCCGGGACGACCGG